rnacentral:rRNA from 1 species
UACAGAGGGUGCGAGCGUUAAUCGGAAUUACUGGGCGUAAAGCGCGCGUAGGCGGCUUUGCAAGUCGGGUGUGAAAUCCCCAGGCUUAACCUGGGAACUGCAUUCGAGACUGCAUUGCUAGAGUAUGGGAGAGGGAAGUGGAAUUUCCGGUGUAGCGGUGAAAUGCGUAGAGAUCGGAAGGAACGUCGAUGGCGAAGGCAGCCACCUGGCAUGAUACUGACGCUGAGGCGCGAAAGCGUGGGGAGCGAACAGG